CCUACGGGGGGCAGCAGUGGGGAAUAUUGCACAAUGGGCGCAAGCCUGAUGCAGCCAUGCCGCGUGUAUGAAGAAGGCCUUCGGGUUGUAAAGUACUUUCAGUGGGGAGGAAGGCGAUGAGGUUAAUAACCUCGACGAUUGACGUCACCCGCAGAAGAAGCACCGGCUAACUCCGUGCCAGCAGCCGCGGUAAUACGGAGGGUGCAAGCGUUAAUCGGAAUUACUGGGCGUAAAGCGCACGCAGGCGGUCUGUCAAGCCGGUUGUGAAAUCCCCGGGCUCAACCUGGGAACGGCAUCCGGAACUGGCAGACUAGAGUGCAGGAGAGGAGGGUAGAAUUCCCGGUGUAGCGGUGAAAUGCGUAGAGAUCUGGAGGAAUACCAGUGGCGAAGGCGGCCCCCUGGACUGAGACUGACGCUGAGGUGCGAAAGCGUGGGUAGCAAACAGGAUUAGAUACCCGUGUAGUC
rnacentral:rRNA from 1 species